AUCAAUUAUUCACUGAAUUCCACUCCUAAGAGCCACCACAAUACAAAUCAUCAUCAUCAUAGGAGAAGUUUGCAGUAUCUCAGAUAGCAAUAUGAGGUUUUUAACAGACACUAACGUCUAGUUUUACUCAUUUUGCACUGCAGAAUAAACCUUUGAAAUAUAUGAUAGUACUUGCUGGCUGAGACAGCAAGGAGCUCAUACAACCUUUCUCUUGUGACGAGGACACUUGCUUCUGUAUGGCAGGGAGGAAUUAAAUUAUCAAGAGUAUAUUCUUCCCUUGAAGCCAACACAUGAACCAGCCACCAUGAAAGCUAAUUGAAGAUGAUAGUACUGAACUUUAGCAUUCUGUGGGCCAAUCUGUGGAAUAUCAAUGGAAGAUCAGCACAUACAGCAACAGGACAGGUCCAAUGGUCAAGAAGUAGUGUUACGGAUUGGCAUAGAAGAACCAGGUUACAGUUGUCAACAUGGCCCAGAUGGUCAGCUGAUGUACAGUGGCACGGCUCCAAUGAAGUCAACUGGAUGCACACAUUUACACCAGCUGAAGACAUGGCCCUCUGUGUAGCCAUCAGAGACCAAUGGCCUAAGACUAACCUCAUGCCAAUUGUAUAGCAGUGUAAUUCCUUUUACUUAAAUUGAGAUACUUCAGACAUACACCUGUGAAUGGGAGAGCAGAAAUGGGACUCAGGAAUGCUGAGUGUGAUACACUCAGCAGAUAACAGCAUCUCUCUCUGUUUAACUGACUUGUGGGUUUGAAAGGAUUUGACCUUUUCCUUAUCCAGUCCUGGUUCAACCGCAUGUUGUUCCCAAACAAGAGCUAAAGAGGGAUGCCGUAAAACUGCCUCAACUUGUGCAGAUCUUCAAGACGUGCGGAUCUUCAAAUCUUCAACUGAAAUGAAAUGUUUCCACAAGGAGAGCACACAAAAAAGUAAUGUGUGGUUGGAAAUCACCUUUGUGAACUAAAAGAGCUGUCCUGUAUUUUACAUCAGUGCAAUGCACAAACAUUCAUGUGGUAUUUACUGGUAUAAAAGCUGUGGCUGUCUCCCUGGACCUUAACUACUAAUUGCUACUUUUAAUAUGGAAGCUAUGGGAUGAGCAAAAGAAUUAGAGAAGGGAAUUGUAAAUACUGGCUGCACCUGAAACCAAUUUUAAUGUUCCUGUUAAAAAAAAUACAUAAUCAGAAAGUAUUUACUUUUCAUGGUUUGCAUUUCUAGUUAUAAGCAGAAGUUAAAGUUCGUUGAACAGAUAUAAAGGGCUAACAAAAACUACGGCAGUAGAAGUUUGUUUCUAUUAAAAAACAUGAACUUGUUUAUGCCUCCCAGAUCUGUUCAUGGGGUGAAUUUCACCCUGUGUAGAGUGCCAGCACAAAGCCCUAUACACCACUUAAUGCUCAUUUAAGCUCAUUUAUGAAUUUCACCCAUAAAAGACCAAACAGAUCUGACUCUGCCUGUGCAAACGUGGAAGUUAGCUCCCUUUGCAGUAUCAUCCUCAUUCUGCAUGGACCCUCAGAAAGCACACUGUCAUCUCAAAAUGUUGUACUAUCUUUAAUUUUAGAUAGCCUCAAAAGUUAAUCAGUUCAGUAUCCUCCGAUAUGUGUAAGCCAUAUUAGAUCAUUUAGCUUGAUUCAAAAUAAAAAAAGAUGGCUAGCAAA